CAAACUCCUAGGCUCAAGUAAUUCUCCAAAAGUGUUGGGAUUACAGAUGUGAACCACUGUGCCCAGCCCAAAAUCUUAUUUUAGUAAUUGACCCAAUAGUGCCCUUUGUAGCAUUCCAUAGUGCAGGAUCUAGUCAGCCUAAGAUUAGAUAUUGCAUUUAGUUGUCCUGUCUUGUAGGCUCCAUCAAUGAGGAACACUUCCACAGCCCUUCUUUGCUUUUAUGAGUACAGUAGUGGUUCUCAGCUGGAGGAUUUCUCCUACAGUCGGAGGGAAAACCCGGGAAUGAGGAAUGCUGAUGGACAUAGCACUAUCAGAGGACUUGAUCCUGUUUCUCAGAGAGGAAGACAGACACUCUUAGCAUAAUGAGGGUCAAAAGUUGGGCCAGGCCGGGCACGGUGGCUCACGCCUGUAAUCCCAGCACUUUGGGAGGCUGAGGCAGGCAGAUCACUUGAGGUCAGGAGUUUGAGGCCAGCCUGGCCAACAUGGUGAAACCUCAUCUCCACUAAAAAUACAAAAAUUAGCUGGGUGUGGUGGCACAUGCCUGUAGUCCCAGCUACUCAGGAGGCUUAGGCAGAAGAAUCGCUAGAAUCCAGGAGGCAGAGGCUGCAGUGAGCCGAGAUCACACCACUGCACUCCAGCCUGGGUGACAGAGCGAGACUCUGUCUCAAAAAAAAAAAAAAAAAAGAAAUUGGGGCUAGCAGUAUCGAUAAUAGGGGAUCUCAUACCAAGAGAGCAAAUGGCCCAACAUUCAUCUUCAGAGUAAAGAGGUCUGGUUAAAAAAAAAA